rnacentral:rRNA from 1 species
AGAGUUUGAUCCUGGCUCAGAACGAACGCUGGCGGCGUGGAUAAGACAUGCAAGUCGAGCGAGAUAAGUUUUGUAGCAAUACAGAGCUUGUUUAGCGGCGAACGGGUGCGUAACACGUGAGAACCUGCCCAAAAGAGGGGGAUAGCCCGCCGAAAGGCGGAUUAAUACCGCAUAUUAACAAAGCAGCAAUGCGCUUUUGGAUGGGCUCGCGGCCUAUCAGCUUGAUGGUGAGGUAACGGCUCACCAUGGCUAUGACGGGUAGCUGGUCUGAGAGGACGACCAGCCACACUGGGACUGAGUCACGGCCCAGACACCUACGGGUGGCAGCAGUCGAGAAUUUUUCUCAAUGGGGGCAACCCUGAAGGAGCGACGCCGCGUGGAGGAUGAAGGUUUUCGGAUUGUAAACUCCUGUCAUGAGAGAACAAAACCCGCAAGGGCUUGAUAGUACCUCAAGAGGAAGGGACGGCUAACUCUGUGCCAGCAGCCGCGGUAAUACAGAGGUCCCAAGCGUUGUUCGGAUUCACUGGGCGUAAAGGGUGUGUAGGCGGUGGGGAAAGUUGCGUGUUAAAUCUCAAGGCUCAACCUUGAAACCGCUCGCAAUACUACUCUGCUCGAGGACUGUAGAGGAGAAUGGAAUUCACGGUGUAGCAGUGAAAUGCGUAGAUAUCGUGAGGAAGACCAGUGGCGAAGGCGAUUCUCUGGGCAGUUCCUGACGCUGAGACACGAAGGCCAGGGGAGCAAACGGGAUUAGAUACCCCGGUAGUCCUGGCAGUAAACGGUGCACGUUUGGUGUGGGAGGAUUCGACCCCUUCCGUGCCGAAGCUAACGCGUUAAACGUGCCGCCUGAGGAGUACGGUCGCAAGAUUAAAACUCAAGGAAUUGACGG